CAGUAACGGCGAGUGAAGCGGCAACAGCUCAAAUUUGAAAUCUGGCUCCUUCGGGGUCCGAAUUGUAAUUUGUAGAGAGUGCUUCGGGCGAGACCUCGGUCUAAGUCCAUUGGAACAUGGUGUCAUAGAGGGUGAGAAUCCCGUAUGCGACCGUGGCUCGAGCCCAUGUGAAGCCUCUUCGACGAGUCGAGUUGUUUGGGAAUGCAGCUCAAAACGGGUGGUAAAUUUCAUCUAAAGCUAAAUACUGGCUGGAGACCGAUAGCGCACAAGUAGAGUGAUCGAAAGAUGAAAAGCACUUUGGAAAGAGAGUCAAACAGUACGUGAAAUUGUUGAAAGGGAAGCGCUUGCAACCAGACCUGCCCGUAGGCGAUCAGCCGCUGUUCUCAGCGGUGCACUCGCUCUGCGAUCAGGCCAGCAUCGGUUUCGGCGGUCGGAUAAAGGCCUUGGGAAUGUAGCUUCCCUUCGGGGAAGUCUUAUAGCCCUCGGUGCAAUGCGGCCAGCCGGGACCGAGGACCGCGCUUCGGCUAGGAUGCUGGCGUAAUGGUUGUAAGCGACCCGUCUUGAAACACGGACCAAGGAGUCUAACAUCUAUGCGAGUGUUUGGGUGUCAAACCCAUACGCGGAAUGAAAGUGAACGGAGGUGAGAACCCUUAAGGGCGCAUCAUCGACCGAUCCAGAUGUCUUCGGAUGGAUUUGAGUAUGAGCAUAGCUGUUGGGACCCGAAAGAUGGUGAACUAUGCCUGAAUAGGGUGAAGCCAGAGGAAACUCUGGUGGAGGCUCGCAGCGGUUCUGACGUGCAAAUCGAUCGUCAAAUUUGGGUAUAGGGGCGAAAGACUAAUC
rnacentral:rRNA from 8 species